GGGAAUCUACCCUGAACUGCGGAAUAGCUCCGGGAAACUGGAAUUAAUACCGCAUGUGCCCUGAGGGGCAAAGAUUUAUCGGUUCAGGAUGAGCCCGCGUCGGAUUAGCUAGUUGGUGGGGUAAUGGCCUACCAAGGCGACGAUCCGUAGCUGGUCUAAGAGGAUGAUCGGCCACAUUGGGACUGAGACACGGCCCAAACUCCUACGGGAGGCAGCAGUGGGGAAUAUUGGACAAUGGGCGCAAGCCUGAUCCAGCCAUGCCGCGUGAGUGAUGAAGGCCCUAGGGUUGUAAAGCUCUUUCAGUGGGGACGAUAAUGACGGUACCCACAGAAGAAGCCCCGGCUAACUUCGUGCCAGCAGCCGCGGUAAUACGAAGGGGGCUAGCGUUGUUCGGAAUUACUGGGCGUAAAGCGCACGUAGGCGGAUAUUUAAGUCAGGGGUGAAAUCCCGGGGCUCAACCCCGGAACUGCCUUUGAUACUGGAUGUCUUGAGUCCGGAAGAGGUGAGUGGAAUUGCGAGU
rnacentral:rRNA from 1 species